UACAGAGGGUGCAAGCGUUAAUCGGAAUUACUGGGCGUAAAGCGUGCGUAGACGGUUAUGUAAGUCAGAUGUGAAAGCCCCGGGCUCAACCUGGGAACUGCAUUUGUGACUGUAGAGCUGGAGUACGGUAGAGGGGGAUGGAAUUCCGCGUGUAGCAGUGAAAUGCGUAGAUAUGCGGAGGAACACCGAUGGCGAAGGCAAUCCCCUGGACCUGUACUGACGCUCAUGCACGAAAGCGUGGGGAGCAAACAGG
rnacentral:rRNA from 1 species